rfam:Symbiodinium microadriaticum strain CCMP2467 Smic.scaffold1253, whole genome shotgun sequence.
GCCAGGGUGAGUCAGGCUGGUGCCUGGACAUGGCUUCAGUCCAUGGGGCAUGGGGACAUGCAGGGGCUCGAUUCCCCCUCUCUGGC